GCUGCUGCAGCCAACCACAACACAGGAACUCUGAUGACAUCAUCUGUAGGGGACACAGCAAGGAAAGCAAAGAGCGGCCUGAAGUCAUCGAGGAUCCACCUAAAGCCGGUCUGACCUCAUUGACGGACCAUCCACACACCCCUGCUGACUCAUCAGUGUGUGUGUUUGUGUUUAAGAACACUCCCUAGCAGAUGCAGGGUCCAGCCGGAGAGACGAGGCCUGCCGAGUCCUUCUACCAGUGACAAAGCCAGCAGUAACUGGAGCCUGACUGGGCUGGAGUGUAAACUGGGAUCGAGGGCCAGCUGUAGGGACCAUCAAAGCUCACAGUAAUCUCAUGUAACUGGAUCUGCCAUUUCCUACCGCAAGACUUCAGUCUCACCUGCCUAAAGUGAAUCGAAAUGGUCUUUCGACGGAGGAUCGCCAUGGAGAUGAAAACGGUCUCCAUGGCGAUCUCUCAGAGGACUGCGAUUAAGUUUAGAAUUUGCAUCAAGAAAGACUAACCGAUCCAGCAGAAUACGGAAACCGGAACAUGCAAUCUGCAUACAGUAUGUGUUAGCGUCUGAGCCAGCUGUCUGUUAGCUAGCUACAUACAUGUGGUAGCAAUCUUGGGGUUGGCAACUCCCUUCCAUCUCCUCCUCUUCCCCAUGGGUCUAAGACUGAACCCCCCACCUGGCCUGCCCCCUCAUAAAGCAUGUGUGUGUGAAGCUUCAGAGUGUGUUUGUGUGGUGUGUGUGUGUGUAGCUUCAGAGUGU